rnacentral:rRNA from 1 species
GACGAACGCUGGCGGCGUGCUUAACACAUGCAAGUCGAACGGAAAGGCCCUGCUUUUGUGGGGUGCUCGAGUGGCGAACGGGUGAGUAACACGUGAGUAACCUGCCCUUGACUUUGGGAUAACUUCAGGAAACUGGGGCUAAUACCGGAUAGGAGCUCCUGCUGCAUGGUGGGGGUUGGAAAGUUUCGGCGGUUGGGGAUGGACUCGCGGCUUAUCAGCUUGUUGGUGGGGUAGUGGCUUACCAAGGCUUUGACGGGUAGCCGGCCUGAGAGGGUGACCGGCCACAAUGGGACUGAGAUACGGCCCAGAAUUCUACCGGAGGCAGGAGUGGGGAAUAUUGCAAAAUGGGGGGAAGGCUGAUGGAGGAACGCCGGGUGCGGGAAGACGGGCUUUGGGGUGUAAACCGCUUUCGCCUGUGACGAAGCGUGAGUGACGGUAAUGGGUAAAGAAGCACCGGCUAACUACGUG